GUUUGUAGCUAUUUGGGGUGUGAAUGGGGUUGGACUACAGAGUGAUGCCUACCACGCUGAACUGGUCCUGAAGGCAGACUCUACUCUGUGGCUGGUGAGGAGGUGCCAGGCCUACAACUGUGAGGGACAUUGUGUCUGUGCAGUGCAGGGCGGUACCUGUUCUGCCAGUAAAGCAUGUGCACAAGACAAAACAGAUCAAAAUAUCACAAUCAAAGACGUGGUGGACGUCAUGUCUCCAG